rnacentral:pre_miRNA from 11 species
UACAUGGAUCCAACAGCAGGGGCCGCCUGUACCCACACUGAAAGACCCCCAGAGUGGGGAGACCCUCACUCAAGUCUCGGGAUAAGCUGACGCCCCAAUAAUUCAGGAAAGACC